GACCUCGUGGCGCAAUGGUAGCGCGUCUGACUCCAGAUCAAAAGGUUGCGUGUUCAAGUCACGUCGGGGGGCCG
rnacentral:tRNA from 1 species